rnacentral:rRNA from 1 species
UACGUAGGUGGCAAGCGUUGUCCGGAUUUACUGGGCGUAAAGGAUGCGUAGGCGGACAUUUAAGUCAGAUGUGAAAUACCCGAGCUUAACUUGGGUGCUGCAUUUGAAACUGGGUGUCUAGAGUGCAGGAGAGGUAAGUGGAAUUCCUAGUGUAGCGGUGAAAUGCGUAGAGAUGCGGAGGAACACCGAUGGCGAAGGCAGCCCCCUGGGCUAGCACUGACACUGAGGAGCGAAAGCCAGGGGAGCAAACGGG